ensembl:lncRNA
CUGUGGCCCAAAAACCCAGUGAUGCACUUUUCUCCAUCCUACAUUUGUGUUGUGGCCAAAGUAAUAAUAAUAAGAAGAAGAAGAAGAAGUGACGCUGCAUUCAUCCCACAUACAACAUCACAGGACGAACACGGUCCCAGCAGCAUCGGGUCCGACCUCUGUCUCCACGGGUUCAGCCUCGUGUACCAGAGCACGCCGACGGCCUUCAGCCCAGAGACACCAGCACGGCCAAACUCCCCCACUGAAGACGAGGCGCAUGGAGCCACAGACUGACAGAAAGAGGUGUGAUGGACAGCGUGGUUCUGCUCGGGCCCGGUCCACAGCAGCUGUUCACCCAGUACCAGUGUGCAGCACACAAUAUAUUGGACUAUUUGCAUGUGGAAAGAAACCCCCCACAACAGGAUUAGAUAAGGAUGAUAAGGACGCAGCGUCAGAUAUCAGGAUAUCAAGCCCCGCCCCCUUUGUUUCCUCUCGGGUACCACCAGAGCCGCUGGAUCUACGACGAAGAGGCUGACGUGAAGGCUGUGGACGCUGGAUUCGACCGCCACGACAUCCCGUGCGACGUUAUCUGGAUGGACAUCGAGCACACGGAGGGG